ensembl:lncRNA
AUCUGGUCCGUCGGGAAGUACACAGAAAGAAUUUAAUGUUUCGUUUUUGUGAUGUGUGUUUACCAGUGAGAAUGGGAAUGUGCCCAGAACAAAUCGCUGGGCUACACCUGCCAACCUUCUGGCCAUCGAGACUUUACUUUCAUCGUUGAUAUUAUAUAUUUUUGAUUAUUGUUAUGAGUAUUCAUAUUAGUCUUUAUAUUUGAACACCCAUCGGACAGGGAAAACUACAAUGGCAUUCCUCUCCGGGCUCGGAAUAACUUAUUUUUCUCCUGGUCUCUUUAGGAUGACCCGCGCUGUCUUGUUCAUCCUGGUGAUCUUUGUGUGUCUUGCACCGAUACUGGAGUUCAACAGCACACAGGCACUCUACAACAAGGAUCGUUCACUGAAGGAUGAGCUCUACCAGACACUGAAGGAGUUUACAACUGAAAUACGCCUCCAUUAUGUUGUUUUCGAGGAGGUGUUCACGAUUUGGAUGACCCGCACUGUCUUGUCCAUCCUGGUGGUGUUUGUGUGUCUUGCACCAAUGCAGGAGGUAUACAGCACACAGGAUGACAUAAAGAAGAAGAUUCAAGCUUUGGAAUUGAAGGCCAAUUCCCUGAAGGAUUACUGCAAUACUAAGAAGGAGGCCAUCUUUAAAAUGUUGGAAAAGGACGAUCAGUCCCUUGACGCUGCAUUGGCCAAAGCAGAAAAACGCAAGGGGCCCGUGUUUGCAGCAAUAAAGGACAAACUUGAGAUGGCGAAGGAGUCGAACUCUGAACGAAAAGCUCAAUUGCAGCACUUCACUCAUGUCUGUGACCUCAGUUGUGAGCACAUCCAGAAGGAAAUCAUGAGACUCAAAGACUUAGUCAAUGAACCCGAGGUGAUAAAAAAUGUAUUAUAAUUAUUACUUAUUAACAUUAGCAUUAGUUGAUGCAUUAGUGAGCAUUAUUAUAUAGCAUUAGCAUAGGGGUUAGCGUCGGUGUGUUCUUCAUCGCUGAUACGUCACACACAGGAUGAUGGAGGGUGGAACCUGUUGGCCCGUGGCAGAAAGUGUCAGUCAGGGUCAGGUAGUUCAGGUUUCUGACUGCUUUAUUGGUUAGUUUGUGUGGUUGUAUCAAGGUUUAACUGAGGGAACAUCUGUACAAAUGUCAUGAUAUUUUUUUUGUUUUGUUUUUUGGUCUUUCUUUACACAAUAUCUGUUCUGUCUGCCUUUGUAUACAGAUCUUGCAAACCUUCCUUUAUUACUGGUUGCAUUUAAAACACUGGUUAAAACAUUUCUGUCAUAUCUUGAUAUUCUUAUUUGAUUGACUAUUUCCCUCUAAUCUCAACCACCUUUCUGUGGUGCUUUUUCUUUCUUGCUUUGUGAGAAAGUAUAAGAAGAGAAGCUGUUAUUUAUUUGGCAACUUUGAAUAACCAAAUGCAGGUCUCUGUGAACAUGCCCUGGCCUCAAAAUAACUGCAGAUUCCUGUACAAACUAGGGCUGUCACUUUUUAUUCGAAGUUAGAAUAUUCGUUCGAAGGUGGGGUGAAAAGUUUGAAUUCGAAGUGUAAUUCUCCAUUCGAACUGUGUGUGCUGCCGUCUCAUAAGAACUUCAGACCAUUUUAAGUAGUCUGCUUUCGAUCCAGCAGAGGGCGCACUAAAAUUUUAUAUCAGUUUGACCUGUUGCCGACCCUCUUGGCCUGGCUAUCUGUAUCGAAUGUUGAAUCAACAUUCGAUACAGAUAGGCCAAGAGGGCUUUGAAACAAAACGUAACUGAAGAGAACGCGAACCGAGAUACGGCUAUUAAAAAACGGCUAUUAAAAAUGGAGAAUUGCGAGGAGUACAAUGCUGAGCGGACCAUAACGACACCAUCACAUUUAAAAAGCAGCGUAUGGAAGCAUUUUGGCUUUUACACCGUGGGUGGAAAAGUCACAAACAAAGACGAGGCCGUUUGUCUUCUUUGUAAAAGAGAGCUGUCGUACUUAUCGACAACAUCAAAUUUGCGCACUCAUCUGCUAGCUUACCACCGAAAUGUAGCAGCAGAGGAACAACUGCCGAGCGGAGCUGCACAGAGUGUACAGCCGCGCGUGAAAACAUUCUAUCCAGCUCACUCAGCAGGCCCCUUACCUGACGCCCGUAACAAGGCCAUCACUGGUAAAAUCGUUUAUAUAGGCUGUGUGUGCCAUGGACGACAUGCGCUCCGCAUAUCGCGCUCCGAGCAGUUAUUGUUAAUGUGUAAAAGACAGCCGCACUUGGCCGUCGGAGCUUCCUCUUGUUGUGUUUACAAAUGUGUUAUCAAAGAUGUGUUUUUAUCCUGUGCUGUUAUGAAUUCAGUAGGUAUACGUGAUUUCCACAAGAAAUAAAAAGAGCAA